GCCCGGUUAGCUCAGCUGGUUAGAGCGUCGUACUAAUAUCGCGGAAUUGUCUGCAAUAUUGAGUGAUGCGAAGGUCAACAGUUCAAUCCUGUUACUGGGCA